GUACUGAUGAAGAGUCCCAAACUAGGACGAAAUAGCUGUCCAAUAC
rnacentral:hammerhead_ribozyme from 1 species